rnacentral:rRNA from 1 species
CCUACGGGUGGCUGCAGUCGAGAAUCAUUCACAAUGGGGGAAACCCUGAUGGUGCGACGCCGCGUGGGUGAAGGAGUGCUUCGGCAUGUAAAGCCCUAUCGGCAGGGAAGAAGCAAGACGGUACCUGACUAAGAAGCCCCGGCUAACUACGUGCCAGCAGCCGCGGUAAUACGUAGGGGGCGAGCGUUAUCCGGAUUCACUGGGUGUAAAGGGAGCGUAGACGGCCAUGCAAGCCAGGGGUGAAAGCCCGGGGCCCAACCCCGGGACUGCCCUUGGAACUGCAUGGCUGGAGUGCGGGAGGGGCAGGCGGAAUUCCUGGUGUAGCGGUGAAAUGCGUAGAUAUCAGGAGGAACACCGGCGGCGAAGGCGGCCUGCUGGACUGCGACUGACGUUGAGGCUCGAAAGCGUGGGGAGCGAACAGGAUUAGAUACCCUGGUAGUC